GGCAGGUUAGCUCAGUCAGUUGAGCGUGGUGCUGACAACACCAAGGUCACGGGUUCGAUACCUGCUC
rnacentral:tRNA from 1 species